rnacentral:rRNA from 1 species
GAGAGCGGCGUACGGGUGCGUAACACGUGUGCAACUUACCUUUAUCUGGGGAAUAGCCUUUCGAAAGGGAGAUUAAUACCCCAUAAUAUAUUAGAUGGCAUCAUUUGAUAUUGAAAACUCCGGUGGAUAGAGAUGGGCACGCGCAAGAUUAGAUAGUUGGUGAGGUAACGGCUCACCAAGUCAAUGAUCUUUAGGGGUCCUGAGAGGGAGAUCCCCCACACUGGUACUGAGACACGGACCAGACUCCUACGGGAGGCAGCAGUGAGGAAUAUUGGACAAUGGGUGAAAGCCUGAUCCAGCCAUCCCGCGUGAAGGAUGACGGUCCUAUGGAUUGUAAACUUCUUUUGUAUAGGGAUAAACCUAGAUACGUGUAUCUAGCUGAAGGUACUAUACGAAUAAGCACCGGCUAACUCCGUGCCAGCAGCCGCGGUAAUACGGAGGGUGCAAGCGUUAUCCGGAUUUAUUGGGUUUAAAGGGUCCGUAGGCGGGCCGAUAAGUCAGUGGUGAAAUCUCAUAGCUUAACUAUGAAACUGCCAUUGAUACUGUCGGUCUUGAGUAAAUUAGAGGUAGCUGGAAUAAGUAGUGUAGCGGUGAAAUGCAUAGAUAUUACUUAGAACACCAAUUGCGAAGGCAGGUUACCAUGAUUUAACUGACGCUGAGGGACGAAAGCGUGGGUAGCGAACAGGAUUAGAUACCCUGGUAGUCCACGCCGUAAACGAUGCUAACUCGUUUUUGGGGCGCAAGCUUCAGAGACCAAGCGAAAGUGAUAAGUUAGCCACCUGGGGAGUACGUUCGCAAGAAUGAAACUCAAAGGAAUUGACGGGGGCCCGCACAAGCGGUGGAUUAUGUGGUUUAAUUCGAUGAUACGCGAGGAACCUUACCAAGGCUUAAAUGGGAAAUGACAGGUUUAGAAAUAGAUCCUUCUUCGGACAUUUUUCAAGGUGCUGCAUGGUUGUCGUCAGCUCGUGCCGUGAGGUGUUAGGUUAAGUCCUGCAACGAGCGCAACCCCUGUCACUAGUUGCUAACAUUAAGUUGAGGACUCUAGUGAGACUGCCUACGCAAGUAGAGAGGAAGGUGGGGAUGACGUCAAAUCAUCACGGCCCUUACGCCUUGGGCCACACACGUAAUACAAUGGCCGGUACAGAGGGCAGCUACACAGCGAUGUGAUGCAAAUCUCGAAAGCCGGUCUCAGUUCGGAUUGGAGUCUGCAACUCGACUCUAUGAAGC